AUCGAACGCUGGCGGCAGGCCUAACACAUGCAAGUCGAACGAGUGGCGGACGGGUGAGUAAUGUCUGGGAAACUGCCUGAUGGAGGGGGAUAACUACUGGAAACGGUAGCUAAUACCGCAUACCAUCAGAUGUGCCCCGGUGGGAUUAGCUAGUUGGUGGGGUAACGGCUCACCAAGGCGACGAUCCCUAGCUGUUCCGAGAGGAUGACCGGCCACACUGGAACUGAGACACGGUCCAGACUCCGACGGGAGGCAGCAGGGGGGAAUAUUGGACAAUGGGCGCAAGCCUGAUGCAGCCAUGCCGCGUGUGUGAAGAAGGCCUUCGGGUUGUAAAGUACUUUCAGCGGGGAGGCGUUACCCGAAGAGGAAGCACCGGCUAACUACGUGCCAGCAGCCGCGGUAAUAC
rnacentral:rRNA from 1 species